AUUGAACGCUGGCGGCAGGCCUAACACAUGCAAGUCGAACGAGUGGCGGACGGGUGAGUAAUGUCUGGGAAACUGCCCGAUGGCGGGGGAUAACUACUGGAAACGGUAGCUAAUACCGCAUACCAUCGGAUGUGCCCAGAUAGGAUUAGCUAGUAGGUGGGGUAACGGCUCACCUGGGCGACGAUCCCUAGCUGGUCUGAGAGGAUGACCAGCCACACUGGAACUGAGACACGGUCAGGACUCCUACGGGAGGAAGCAGUGGGGAAUAUGUGACAAUGGGCGAAAGCCUGAUGCAGCCAUGCCGCGUGUAUGAAGAAGGCCUUCGGGUUGUAAAGUACUUUCAGCGAGGAGGCGUUACUCGAAGAAGAAGCACCGGCUAACUCCGUGCCAGCAGCCGCGGUAAUUC
rnacentral:rRNA from 1 species